ACAGCAGUGAUUCUCCAUUACAGGUCAAAGUUUAAAGCCAUGAAGGAGACUUCCUGUUAAUGUCAGGGUGGAUGUUGUUUAAUGAUGAACGAAGUAGAUUUGAAAUUGUUAGCGAUGGAAAUGAAAACGAGAGAUUUAAAGAAUUCAUAAACCCUGAAUGAAAUCUACGUAUCUGAAUGAGUUUCAGUCUUCGAGGACGUCAGAGGUUCACGCUGCUGGUAAUCUUCAUCUGCAUGCUGACACUGAUGGAGACAGCGAUCACCCGACACAUCUGCAGUGCAGAGGCCGCUGCAGUGAAACCCGUCAGCGCGUCAGCGGUGCCGGGUUAAUGAGAUGGGCCUGACGUCCACGGAGACAUCUCAGACAUCUCUUUCAAACUUUUUCAAGUGUCUGCAGACUCCACCUCCAACCCCACCGACAGAAAAACACCGCUCCUGCAUCCGUUUAUGAGUAAUCACCCUCCCGUUCCCUCGAGGGUUUCUCUUGCAGUACGACUCCUGCCACCUCCUCCUGCGGAUCCUCCUCCCCCUGUAGCUCGCAGCAGUCGCCGCUGUAGGUUUGAGGAAACAUCCUCUAUGCGUGCGAAUGAUGAAGCGGUUAAUGGAGUGACGCUGAGAGGAACAUUUGUUCUCUGAAUGUGCCCUUAAGGCAGCACUCCUCUGCAGACCUGCUGCAUUUACACUGUGGGAGUUUUGAUGGAUGAUAAAAGCAGAGCCUCCGGGCUCAGGAAAAAACACCCCCGCCUGUCCCACGCAGGAGCAAGUCACUCUGACUGAUGGAGGCACACACGACUGCAGACAUCGAGUCUCUGCUGUUUGUGCAGUUUGUCUCUGCUGCUCUUUAUGUCUGUUCAGGAUGGAUGUGUGCUCGUGUGUGUGCUCAGGUUUGUCGUGUGGCCGAGUGUUCGACUCCCUGCUGCACUUUGCUCUGUUCUCAGUUUGCUUUGCGUCUCCUUGUUGGUCUUGUGGCGUCUCUUUGUCUCCACCGUGUCUCUUUGGUCGACUUGGUAACUGUUAACUUCAAACAGAGACUCAGAGAGUGAUGUCAUCAGCGGGUCUGUCUGACCGUCAGUGUUUUGGACACAGAAUGACUGUAUGUGGACGAGAGGGUGGAGCUGAGUAGGUGGGGCUUCUUUGAUUUGUAGUUUUCUGCAUUAAUUUAUGUUUGAAACGUUGUUGUUUAUGGAAAAACUCCAAAACCAGGCACCAGGUUUCCAACACCAGAUACAGGCAGUGGAAGGAAGUCUUUCCUGUUUUUACUGAGGAGGAGAAAUGCACAUCCACCUGUCAGUCAAAGAGGCCACGCCCCUAAUAAUGCAAACUUAUCCACAAUCCAAUUCAAACAGGAAACUAUAAUGACCAUAAUAACCAGGAGCAGCAAUAACAAGAACAGUAACCAACGAAGCAGCCUCGAAGCCUCACCUGUGGCCGUCGACGUCCCGCACAUCGAGCACAGAGUACGCGUGGCGCGGACGCAAACCCAGAG